rnacentral:rRNA from 1 species
GUAGUCCACGCUGUAAACGUUGGGCGCUAGGUGUGGGGUGCUUCCACGUGUCCCGUGCCGUAGCUAACGCAUUAAGCGCCCCGCCUGGGGAGUACGGCCGCAAGGCUAAAACUCAAAUGAAUUGACGGGGGCCCGCACAAGCGGUGGAGCAUGUGGUUUAAUUCGAAGCAACGCGAAGAACCUUACCAGGGCUUGACAUCCAAUGAACUUUCCAGAAAUGGAUUGGUGCCUUCGGGAACAUUGACACGGGUGCUGCGUGGGUGUCCUCAUCUCGUGUCGUGAGAUGUUGGGUUAAGUCCCGUAACGAGCGCAACCCUUGUCCUUAGUUACCAGCACGUCAUGGUGGGCACUCUAAGGAGACUGCCGGUGACAAACCGGAGGAAGGUGGGGAUGACAUCAAGUCAUCAUGGCCCUUACCGUCUGGGCUACACUCGUGCUACAAUGGUCGGUACAGAGGGUUGCCAAGCCACGAGGUGGAGCUAAUCCCACAAAACCGAUCGUAGUCCGGAUCGCAUUCUGCAACUCGACUGCGUGAAGUCAGAAUCGAUAGUAAUCGCGAAUCAAAAUGUCGCGGUGAAUA